AACGCACAUUGCGCCCCCUGGCAUUCCGGGGGGCAUGCCUGUCCGAGCGUCAUUGCUGCCCUCAAGCCCGGCUUGUGUGUUGGGCCCGCGUCCCCCGCCCCCGGGGGACGGGCCCGAAAGGCAGCGGCGGCACCGCGUCCGGUCCUCGAGCGUAUGGGGCUUCGUCACCCGCUCCGUAGGCCCGGCCGGCGCCCGCCGACGACCAACCCCCUCUUUCUCCAGGUUGACCUCGGAUCAGGUAGGGAUACCCGCUGAACUUAA
rnacentral:misc_RNA from 1 species